rnacentral:hammerhead_ribozyme from 1 species
AUCCAUCUGAUGAGUCCUAAAUAGGACGAAACGCACGUUCUGGAU